rnacentral:rRNA from 1 species
AUUGAACGCUGGCGGCAGGCCUAACUCAUGCAAGUCGAACAGUAACAGGAAGCAGCUUGCUGCUUCGCUGACGAGUGGCGGACGGGUGAGUAAUGUCUGGGAAACUGCCUGAUGGAGGGGGAUAACUACUGGAAACGGUAGCUAAUACCGCAUAACGUCGCAAGACCAAAGAGGGGGACCUUCGGGCCUCUUGCCAUCGGAUGUGCCCAGAUGGGAUUAGCUAGUAGGUGGGGUAACGGCUCACCUAGGCGACGAUCCCUAGCUGGUCUGAGAGGAGGACCAGCCACACUGGAACUGAGACACGGUCCAGACUCCUACGGGAGGCAGCAGUGGGGAAUAUUGCACAAUGGGCGCAAGCCUGAUGCAGCCAUGCCGCGUGUAUGAAGAAGGCCUUCGGGUUGUAAAGUACUUUCAGCGGGGAGGAAGGCGAUAAGGUUAAUAACCUUGUCGAUUGACGUUACCCGCAGAAGAAGCACCGGCUAACUCCGUGCCAGCCGCCGCAGUAA